UCCGCCCCCUCUUACCAUUACUAGCAGCAUAAGAGAGGCAGUGACAAGAAUACCAAUACAAGGCAGUUAAAAUGCUUUGUAUUGGAUGAUAGAAAUUUACACACUUUUUAAGUAUCAAUUGGAGGGCAAGUCUGGUGCCAGCAGCCGCGGUAAUUCCAGCUCCAAUAGCGCAUAUUAAAAUUGUUGCAGAUAAAAAGCUCGUACUUGAAUUUCUGCUAAAAAUAACCGUUCUGCUUUUAAUAAAGGUGCAAUCUUGGUGUGUUUUUAUCAAUAAUGUCCUUUGAAAUGUUUUUUACUUCAUUGUAAUCAAUUAUAUUUAUGAUUUUUACUUUGAGAAAAUUAUAGUGUUUCUAGCAGGCUAAUGCUUUGAAUACUGCAGCAUGGAAUAAUAAAAUAGGAUUUUGGUUCUACAUUAUUGGUUUUAAGAGCUACAUUAAUGAUUGAUAGGGACAGUUGGGGUCAUUUGUAUUA
rnacentral:rRNA from 1 species